UGUAAGCGUAUACCAAAGUUGUUGCAGUUAAAACGCUCGUAGUCGGAAUUUGGCAGUUCCGGAAGUGUGCACGUCGUGUGCGCACUUUGCGGGGACUGCUUUUGUGGUCUUGCGUAGGAUGAGGCACUUUCAUUAGUGAACGUCCUCACGCAACCACUCUUUACUGUGAGAAAAUCAGAGUGCUCAAAGCAGGCAUUUGCCGUGAAUGUAUUAGCAUGGAAUAAUAGAAUAGGACUCGGUUCUAUUUUGUUGGUUUGUUGGGACUGAGUAAUGAUUAAGAGGGACAGUUGGGGGCAUUUGUAUUCCGGCGCUAGAGGUGAAAUUCUUAGAUUGCCGGAAGACAAACUGCUACGAAAGCGUCUGCCAAGGAUGUUUUCAUUGA
rnacentral:rRNA from 1 species